rnacentral:rRNA from 1 species
GACGAACGCUGGCGGCGUGCUUAACACAUGCAAGUCGAACGGAAAGGCCCUGCUUUUGUGGGGUGCUCGAGUUGCGAACGGGUGAGUAACACGUGAGUAACCUGCCCUUGACUUUGGGAUAACUUCAUGAAACUGGGGCUAAUACCGGAUAGGAGCUCCUGCUGCAUGGUGGGGGUUGGAUAGUUUCGGCGGUUGGGGAUGGACUCGCGGCUUAUCAGCUUGUUGGUGGGGUAGUGGCUUACCAAGGCUUUGACGGGUAGCCGGCCUGAGAGGGUGACCGGCCAAAUUGGGACUGAGAUACGGCACAGACUCCUACGGGAGGCAGCAGUGGGGAAUAUUGCACAAUGGGAGGAAGCCUGAUGCAGCAAAGCCGCGUGCGGGAUGACGGCCUUCGGGUUGUAAACCGCUUUCGCCUGUGACGAAGCGUGAGUGACGGUAAUGGGUAAAGAAGCACCGGCUAACUACGUG